rnacentral:rRNA from 1 species
UACGAAGGGGGCUAGCGUUGUUCGGAAUCACUGGGCGUAAAGCGCACGUAGGCGGAUUUUUAAGUCAGGGGUGAAAUCCCGGGGCUCAACCUCGAAACUGCCUUUGAUACUGGAGAUCUUGAGUCCGGAAGAGGUAAGUGGAACUGCGAGUGUAGAGGUGAAAUUCGUAGAUAUUCGCAAGAACACCAGUGGCGAAGGCGGCUUACUGGUCCGGAACUGACGCUGAGGUGCGAAAGCGUGGGGAGCAAACAGG